rnacentral:rRNA from 1 species
AUUGAACGCUGGCGGCAGGCCUAACACAUGCAAGUCGAGCGGAGCGGCGGACGGGUGAGUAAUGCCUAGGAAUCUGCCUGGUCGUGGGGGUUAACGUCCGGAAACGGGCGCUAAUACCGCAUCCUAUCAGAUGAGCCUAGGUCGGAUGAGCUAGUUGGUGGGGUAAAGGCCUACCAAGGCGACGAUCCGUAACUGGUCUGAGCGGAUGAUCGGUCACACUGGAACAUAGACACGGACCAGACUCCUACGGGAGGCAGCAGUGGAGAAUUGUGGGCAAUGGGCGAAAGCCUGAUCCAGCCAUGCCGCGUGUGUGAAGAAGGUCUUCGGGUUUUAGAGCACUUAAAGUUGGGAGGCGUUACCAACAGAAUAAGCGCCGGCUAACUACGUGCCAGCAGCCGCGGUAAUAC